rnacentral:rRNA from 1 species
ACGGUACCUGAAGAAUAAGCCCCGGCAAACUUCGUGCCGCCAGCCGCGGUAAUACCAACGGGGCUAGCGUUGUUCGGAAUUACUGGGCGUAAAGCCCAUGUAGGCUGACAUUUAAGUCGAGGGUGAAAUCCCGAGGCUCAACCUCUUAACUGCCCUUGAUACUGGGUGUCUCGAGUCCGGAAGAGGUUAGUGGAAUUCCCAGUGUAGAGGUGAAAUUCGUACAUUUUGGGAAGAACACGUGUGGCUAACGCGGCUAACUGGUCCGGUACUGACCCUCAGGUGCGAAAGCGUGGGGAGCAAACUCGAUUAGAUACCCUGGUAGUCCACGCCGUAAACUAUGGGUGCUAGCCGUUGGGAAGCUUGCUUCUCAGUGGCGCAGCUAACGCAUUAACCAUCCCGCCUGGGGAGUACGGUCGCAAGAUUAGAACUCACAGGAAUUGACGGGGGCCCGCACAAGCCGUGGAUCCUGUGGUUUAAUUCGAAGCAACGCUCAUAACCUUACCUACUCUUGACAUGUCCUGGACCGGUUUCAGAGAUGAUACCUUCUCUUCGGA